rfam:Loxodonta africana unplaced genomic scaffold scaffold_149, whole genome shotgun sequence.
ACAACGCGUUUUCCCUAAAAUUGAAACAAUACAGAGAAGAUUAAGAUGACUCUGUACAAAGAUGAUAUCCGAAUUCAUGAAGCAUUUCAUAUUUUU